rnacentral:lncRNA from 1 species
UGGAGCAUGGUGGGGCUGUCGGAAGGUGAGGAGAGAGAGAGAGAGAGAGAGAGAAGAAUGGCUGGGGCCAGGUGUUUUCUCCUAGACCAGCAGGAUGAGAAUAGGAGAAGGACCAUUAUUCCUUUACACAGGUGGGAAAGACUGAGGCCCAGAGAGGGCAGUCAUGCGCUCAAGACCACACAGCCAGUCAGCACAGUCAGGGAUUGGAGCCAGGACUUUCCCUGCUGGGCCAAGGGAGGACAUGGGAGGAAGGAGGGGCUUGGACAGAGGACAGAUGAGGAAACCAAGGCUUGGGAGGAGAAGCGGCGCAUCCUGUGGCACACAGUAGGUGUGACACAAGACAGCUGACUCUGGCUUCCAGGCUCUUCCCACAGAUCUGCAGAGCUUCUGCCCUCCCAGCCCCACCUGCCAGGACUAGGUCCUCUCCGCCGGCCCUGCAGCUGCGUUCUCUGCCUCUGCUCUGUGGACUGAUGCCUCACACGAGCUCCCUGGCCUCUGGCUUCUGCCUCCCCAUGCCCUCUCUUGUGAACAGUCCAUCAGGGCUGGGAGGAAAGCAGGAUGAAACCAGUUCCCAGCGAAGCAGCAUUCGCCAGCAUUUACUUCAUACCUCCCUUUAAUCAACUCACUUUUCUCUAAAAGCUUUAAAA